rnacentral:rRNA from 1 species
UACGUAGGGUGUGAGCGUUAAUCGGAAUUACUGGGCGUAAAGUGUGCGCAGGCGGCCGAGCAAGUCGAGUGUGAAAGCCCCGGGCUUAACUUGGGAAUUGCGCUCGAAACUACUUGGCUGGAGUGUGGCAGAGGAAGGUGGAAUUCCACGUGUAGCGGUGAAAUGCGUAGAGAUGUGGAGGAACACCGAUGGCGAAGGCAGCCCCCUGGGUCAAGAUUGACGCUCAUGCACGAAAGCGUGGGGAGCAAACAGG